UAUGGUGUGUUUUUAUGUUCGU
rnacentral:siRNA from 1 species